AUGGCUUGCCAAGGAGCACCAAACGGCCGGGGAAACGCCACCGGGGCCGGCGCUGACGACGUCGGGAGCGCCGUUAAGGCGCACUUCGUGCUCGUCCCGCUCAUGUACCAGGGCCACGUGAUCCCGGCGGUGGACACCGCGCUGCUGCUGGCCACCCACGGCGCGCUCGCCAGCGUUGUCGCCACGCCGUCCAACGCCGCGCGCAUCCGCCCGACGGUCGACCUCGCGCGGCGGUCCGGCCUGCCCAUCCGGCUCGUGGAGCUCCCGCUCGACUGCGCCGCCGAGGGCCUGCCCGAGGAAGCCGACGACGUCGACAAGAUCCCGUUUGGCCUCGCACCGAACUACUUCCGCGCCCUCACGCUCCUCGCCGAGCCGCUCGAGCGCCACCUCCGCGCGCACCCGCCGUACCCGACGUGCAUCAUCUCCGACUUCUGCCACCCGUGGACCGUGCAGGUUGCGGCCAAUCUCAAGGUCCCGCGGCUCAGCUUCUUCAGCAUGUGCACCUUCUGCCUCCUAUGCCAGCACAACGUCGAGAGGUACAACUCCUACGACGCCGUGGCCGACGACAACGAGCCGGUGGUCGUGCCGGGCCUGGAGAAGAGAAUCGAGGUGACCAGGGCGCAAGCCCCCGGGUUCUUUCGGGCGCCCGGGUUCGAGAAGCUAGCUGACGAAAUCGAGCUGGUGCAAGGCGAGGCCGAUGGCGCCGUCGUGAACUCUUUCCUUGAGAUGGAGCCGGAGUACGUCGCUGGGUACGCGGCCGCCAGGAAAAUGAAGGUGUGGACCAUCGGGCCGGUGUCGCUGUACCAUCAGCACGCCGCGACGCUGGCAAAGAGAGGGAACACCACCACAGCCAUUGACGCCGACGAGUGUCUCCGGUGGCUUGAAGGCAAGGAGCCCAAUACCGUCUUGUACGUCAGCUUCGGGAGCAUCGUGCACGCUGACCCGAAGCAGGUCAUCGAGCUUGGGCUCGGGCUCGAGGGAUCGGGGCACCCGUUCGUCUGGGUUCUGAAGAACCCCGACCAGUACGGCGAGGAUGUGCAUGAGUUCCUGCAGGACCUCGAGGAGCGCGUCACCGGGCGCGGGAUGCUGGUCAGAGGGUGGUCGCCGCAGGUGCUUAUCCUGAACCACGCAGCCGUGGGCGGCUUCGUGACGCACUGCGGGUGGAACUCGACGCUAGAGGCAAUCGCGGCGGGGCUGCCGGUGGUGACAUGGCCGCACUUCUCGGACCAAUUCUUGAACGAGAAGCUAGCCGUGGAGGUGCUCGGAAUUGGCGUGAGCGUCGGGAUCAAGGAGCCAUUGAUGUGGGUGUCGAAGAAGGAGAUAGUGGUGGGCAGAGAGGUGGUGGAGGCCGCCGUCAGGAGCAUCAUGGACGGGGGAGAAGAGGGAAAGGAGAGAAGGAGGAAAGCAUUGGCUCUCUCGGAGAAGGCAAGGACGGCCGUGCAGAAGGGCGGGUCAUCGCUUGGCAACCUGCUGGAUCUGAUCAAGCAUUUCGAGGUGGACGCGGGAGGUUGCAUGGCCGUGCAGAAGGAUGCGUAA
rnacentral:rRNA from 1 species